rnacentral:rRNA from 1 species
AUAUGGAGCAUCGGUGUCGCAGAGGGUUCGAUUAUGGCUCAGAUUGAACGCUGGCGGGAUGCUUUAUGCGGUCGAACGGCAGCACGGACUUCGGUCUGGUGGCGAGUGGCGGGCAGGUGGUAAUCUUCAUAUCGGAACGUACUGUGCUGAGAUAACUGCGCGAAAGCGUAGCUGUCUGCUAUACGCCAUCUCAGGGAAAGCGGGGGCCGCUGGGCCUCCGCACUAUUAGAGCGGCCGAUAUCCGAUUGGCCGCUGAAUUGGUGGAAUGCUGGCUCACCAAGGCGACGAUCCGUAGCUGGUGGAGACGACCAUACGCUGGGGCUGGACACAGCCAGACUCUACAGAGGCCAGCAGUGAAAUUUUGGACAAUGCGCAGGGAAACCUGAUCCAGCCAUCCGCGUGUGCGAUGAAGGCACGCCGGUUCUUAAGCUACUUUUGGCAGAAAGAAACGGCACGGGAUAAUGCCGAUGCAACUGACGUGUACCUGCAGAGCCAGCACCGGCUACUACAUUUAUGGCCGCCGGUAAUACGUGGGUGCAAGCGUUAAUCGAAUUACUGGGCAGCGUGCGCAGGCGGUUCGGAAGAAGAUGUGAAAUCCCAGAGCUUAGCACGGAACUGCGUUUUAACUACCGAGCUGAAGAGUGUAUGGAGGUGGAAUUCCGCGUGUGAUGAAAUGCGUAGAUAUGCGGAGGAACACCGAUGGCGAAGGCAGCCUCCUGGGAUAACGCGGCGUGCUGUUGCACCAACGUGGGGAGACAAACAGGAUUAGAUGCUACAAUGAAUCCACGCCCCUAAACAUGAUGUCAACUAGCUGUUGGGCCUUCGGGCCUUGGCCGCUCGUGCUGCGUGGAGGAUGACCGCGCCAAGGAGGUGCCGGUGCAGUUAAAACUCUGAAAAGGAAUUGACGGGGACCCCGCACAGCUGAUGGAUGAUGCUGGGAUCAUUCGAUGGCAUGAAAGACCACAUUACCUGCCCUUGACGUGUCACGGAAUCCGAAGAGAUUUGGGAGUGCUCGCAAGAGAACCCAGAACACAGUUACUGCAUGGCUGUCGUCAGCUCAGUGUGUGAAUGUUAGGUUAAGUCCCGCAACGAGCACCAACCCUUGUCAUUAGUUGCUGAAAGGGCCUCUAAUGAGACUGCCGGUGACAAACCGGAGGGAGAGGGUGGGGAUGACGUCAAGUCCUCAUGACCACUUAUGGGUAGGGCUGCACGUCCAUGCAAUGGUCGGGACGGAAGGGGUCGCCAACCCGCGAGGGGGAGCCAAUCCCAGAAACCCGAUCGUAGUCCGGAUCGCAGUCUGCAACUCGACUGCGUGGAAGUCGGGAUCGCUGGUAAUCAUAGGAUCAGCAUGUCGCGGUGAACCAUUCCCGGGUCUUGUGCCGCACCGCCCGUCCUGUGGUGGGUUUACCUGCCAGAAGUAUGGCUAUGUGGAGGAGGGCGAUUACCACGGUAGGAUUCAUGACUGGGGUGAAGUCGUAACAAGGUAA